rnacentral:ncRNA from 4 species
UACGGAGGGUGCAAGCGUUGUUCGGAAUUAUUGGGCGUAAAGCGCGUGUAGGCGGUUUGUUAAGUCUGGUGUGAAAGCCCUGGGCUCAACCUGGGAAGUGCAUUGGAUACUGGCAAACUUGAGUACGGGAGAGGAUAGUGGAAUUUCGAGUGUAGGGGUGAAAUCCGUAGAUAUUCGAAGGAACACCGGUGGCGAAGGCGGCUAUCUGGACCGAUACUGACGCUGAGACGCGAAAGCGUGGGGAGCAAACAGG